GUGGGGAAUAUUGGACAAUGGGGGGAACCCUGAUCCAGCCAUGCCGCGUGUGUGAAGAAGGCCUUUUGGUUGUAAAGCACUUUAAGCGAGGAGGAGGCUACCGAGAUUAAUACUCUUGGAUAGUGGACGUUACUCGCAGAAUAAGCACCGGCUAACUCUGUGCCAGCAGCCGCGGUAAUACAGAGGGUGCAAGCGUUAAUCGGAUUUACUGGGCGUAAAGCGCGCGUAGGUGGCCAAUUAAGUCAAAUGUGAAAUCCCCGAGCUUAACUUGGGAAUUGCAUUCGAUACUGGUUGGCUAGAGUAGGGGAGAGGAUGGUAGAAUUCCAGGUGUAGCGGUGAAAUGCGUAGAGAUCUGGAGGAAUACCGAUGGCGAAGGCAGCCAUCUGGCCUAAUACUGACACUGAGGUGCGAAAGCAUGGGGAGCAAACAGGAUUAGAUACCCCAGUAGUCC
rnacentral:rRNA from 1 species